rnacentral:lncRNA from 7 species
ACAGAGAGAUGAGUUUUGCUUCUGGAGCAGUCAUUGCCUGCCAGCGUAGUGCUGGCCAGUGUGCCUCUGCUGCCUUCUGCACCUCUCACUUCCCUUUAGCUUAAGUUAAACAGAGCUUGAUCCCCAUUUUAGCUGGGAGUCAGUGGCAGAACUCCUUUGGGUUUCAGUGGGAAUACGAUCAGACCUAAAGAUAUUAUGGACUGAGUCCAAGGAUCCUCUGAUGUGCAGAAGAAACACAUGGAUAGACCAGCAGAUCUUCGGUUUUGGAUCUGUAAGAGGAUUUUUACAGAUUUUCUUUCCAUGAGGGAACUGUUAGAAACUCCGUAUUUUCCGACAUUCUGAUCUGUUACCGUAUCAUUUCACAGGAUGAUGCUGUUAAGUGACCCUCAAAGUAACAUUAAUUGUCCAACGGUCGUAACUGAGAGAAACACGGCUGUCAUAUGCAGGGAGCACAGCACUGAAUCUAAGGCAGAAUUACAACAGGGAAGAAAAAAGUUGGGAAUCUGCAUGAGGUGGUGCGGAGCACCUUCCUGCACCACUGGCUCGUAACUGAUGCAGCAGCUGAUCCUGUGGAUGGUGUGCAGGGCCCAGUUUGGGUUCACAACUCACUGUAGUGUUGGGAUGCUUGAGUCAAGAAUUUGUCACUUCCAUCCAACUACGAUGAUUU